GAUAUGUAGUGCCAUCAUUCAGUUGAGAAGAAACCAUGGCUUCGUUAUGAACUUUUUCGUCCGCAUUAAUGAUUUUAAACAGAUGUAUUGGAACUAAGAAAGUGUGAGAUGAAGCCAUUCUGCAAUGCAAAUUAAAAUUUCAGUUUUCAAGUUAGUUGCUGGUGCAUUGAGAGUUUGAGACUAUAGGCCUGUUUGCAUCACAACCAGCAACAGCCUUACGAAAAGCAUUGUCUGGCUCGUUGGCCUUUGGUUGGAAGUGUUAAGGAGUAUUAGUAUUGGUCUAGGAGUCCUUAUUAGUCUAUGUUUAGUUUCCUUGCACCUCAAGUCAUGUGUAAUAUAUAUAUGCCUCUUGGGCCUUCAAUAAAGAUAAGUUGCUUUCCUAACAUGGUAUUAGAGCCUAGGUUUAGGUCUCCGGACGCCGCAACUCGUCCUUGCGAUCCACUAUUUUUUUUCUCAAUCGAUCUGUUUUUCUCUGGAUCGAUCUCGUCUUCCAUGGCACCACCAGCCCCGCGAUCCGCCUGGCGCCUUGACUGCUCGCCCAGCUGCUUCGGCGUGGGCACCUCGUGGGCCGCUACCUGCCCCUGGAUCGAUGGCGGCUGCCUCAGAUCGGGACCAUCGCCUCCUGUGCGCUCGGCUGGGGCGCUCGGCUGGAAGCACCUCCAGGCUCCAGGAAGGAUCCGCUCCACGUGCAGGCCCGCCCGUACAGCUCCAGCAGCCUGCGUGUUGCUCUCCUGCAGCUGCAGGCUUCUGUCCGCACACGUUUGCCUGCAGCUCUUCCUGUCGACCGCGUGUGCCCCUGCUGGCUGGCUGCUGCUCUGCUCCCGCACGUCCAUCUGCGUGCUGCUGUUGUUCCGCUGCCCUUUGCUGCUCUACUCAGCUGAUGCGUUCUGCUAGCCUACUUGCUAGUUGAUGCGUUCCUGCUAGCCUAUUUGCUAGCUGCCGCUGCUGAUCUUUUAGUCAUUGCAUUAGUCUGGCAUGUGCUUUUUCUAUAUUUUUCGCUGCGUCCACCAAAUUCGUUGAUAUUUUGUGUUUUCUCAUGUCAUGUGAGUCCACCAUACCUACGUCUGUCAGCCUUUUUCUGGUCAUUGUCCUCUAUAGGAUUUCUGUGGCCUCUCUUUGCAUUGUUGAUCUAAGCCCAUUCCCUUGCCGCCGAGCUUCUUUCGCCGUUGGUUUUCAUGGGCCAUGAUUCUUUAAGCAAUGCUUUAUUCUCUCGAUGGACCAUCUUCUUUCGACAACCCAUCUUCUCUUGAUACUUCUUUUGUAUCUUCUAUCGGUGCGGUGUCUUCCUCUGAUGUGCCAUCUCUUCAUUAUCCCCUUUGGCGACUCGACAGGUUUUGAAGACUCUUCAUGCUACGACGACACUCUCAAGACACGGAUUUGGAUUAUCAUUUUUUUUUAGUAUUACACUUCUUCAAAUGCAAUGCUAUUGCAUACGCUUUGCAUUUGAGGGGGGGUGUUAAGGAGUAUUAGUAUUGGUCUAGGAGUCCUUAUUAGUCUAUGUUUAGUUUCCUUGCACCUCAAGUCAUGUGUAAUAUAUAUAUGCCUCUUGGGCCUUCAAUAAAGAUAAGUUGCUUUCCUAACAGGAAGCAGAUUUUUUGGUUAUGCGCCAAAGUUUUGGUUGCCUGUUCAGUUCUAGCGUCAGGUUGUUGGUGAAUCCACACGGCAAAAUAGUGCGCUAAUUUUUUGGCGAGCCCCGAUUUGGCAAGGCUGGUACGGGCGGCAUCCAAACAACCCCUGUGAGCCAAGCUCUCAUCCCUUCCUCUUGACAUCAAGGGAGAUUUGCAUCCAUUACGAUUUCCUAGAGAGUUUAUAAAGGUAUUCAAGAUCAUGCGAGCUGCUGGAUCUGUUUGUAUGUCGCCUGAACCCUACCUAGUGCUCUACAAGGCCUGGAGCAAAAGUUGGGAGUCUAGUACAGAUCGAUUCAGAUCUGAGGUGUUAUAUCUUAAAAGAAUACCGAGAGUUUGUUUAACUGGAUGGAUGCAGCCUUGGCUGGAGCAUCUGCAAUCGUAUUUUGUUCUCUUGAAACAUAGGUCUGAAGCUUACAAAAAGUUCGUUGAUCAGCUCCAUGGUAACUGGUUGCAGAGUCCAGUGAUGUGCUGGAGUGUUUUCCGCUAGUUAAGUCUGAUCCAUGCACUCCUAGUGGUGUGGACAGCUUCUGCAUGUACAGGGGAGGGAGGAAUUGCCUGAACAUCGGCAAUAAUAGGGAGUUGGCCCAUGGAUGUACUUAACAUUCACACGGAUGGUAUAGAGGGAGCUAUGUAUUUGGUGCUAGCUGCUGAGUCUCAAUUGAGCAUGUGACUGUAUCCCUUUUAUGCUUUUUGGUUCACGCUUGUGGUAGAUUCUGGUGUCUUAUGGAUGAAAUUAUGAUAAAUAUAAAUGAAAUUAGGAUAAAAGCACAAUUCAGAAAAUCAUCUCGUCUCA